UACGAGAAGGGCUAGUGUUAUUCUUCGUGAUUGGGCGUAAAGAGUGCGUAGACGGUUUUUUAAACUCUUUUGUAAAUUCCAUAGUCACUUAUGGUAAUAGAAGACAGAUUAUUAAGCUAGAGUUUGUGAGAGAUUAGUGGAACUUUUUAAGGAGGAUUAAAAUCCAUGGAUUUUGAAAGGGCCACCGAAUGUGAAAACAACUAAUUAAUGCAAACUGACGUUGAGGUACGAAGGUAUGGGGAGCGAACUGG
rnacentral:rRNA from 1 species